rnacentral:snoRNA from 1 species
AUGCCAUGAUGCGGACAGUUCUUGAGCAUCAUUUUAAAGCGAUUAAAUGCUUCGUGAAACAACUCACCGGGCUGUUGUCGAAACCCUCAAAUAUCCUUCCAUGGCGU